rnacentral:tRNA from 1 species
GGAGAGGUGGCUGAGUGGCCGAAAGCAGUCGCCUGCUAAGCGAUUGACCUGCCCAAAAGCGGGUCCCAGGGUUCGAAUCCCUGCCUCUCCGCCA